AGGCGAAAGCCUCUAUUAAUGCCAACUUUUAGCGCACGGCUCCUUGAGAGCCAUUUCCCUGGACCGAAUACAGGAAUCGUGUUCGGUCUUUUUUU
rnacentral:sRNA from 2 species